rnacentral:rRNA from 1 species
UACUGCCCUCUUUUUAUUGUUUAUAUUUUAAAGAAGUUAGGGAGGGGGAGGUACUCCUUUUGUUCCAUUAUUUCUUAAUUUUGUUUUAAUUUAAGUUUGAUUCUUGCUUUAUUAUUUGAAUUUUGAAUCAUUUUAUAUGUAAGUUUUUCUUUUUUUCUAAAUGAUUUUUUAUCAGUAUUUAAUUUUAGUUUUUGUUUUUUGACAAAACUAGGGUUUUAAUAUUUAACUAACAAAAAUUGUGCCAGCAGUUGCGGUUAUACAAUUAGUUAAAUUAAAUAUUUUUGGUUUUAUAUUAUUUCUUUAUUUUAUAAUUUAAUUUAAUAUUUUAAGGUGAAAUUUUGAUAUUAUAUAAUUUUAUUGGUUGAUUAUUAGAUAUAUGAAAACUAUUAAUAAACUAGGAUUAGAUACCCUAUUAUAAUAGUUGUAAAUUUGCUUUAAUAUUAAUAGUUAUGAUCUUUAAAUUAAAAGAAUUUGGCGGUUAUUUAAUCUUUCUAGAGGAACCUGUCAUGUAAUUGAUAAUCCACGAUUGAUUUUACUUUUAUUUAACUUACAUAUCGCUGUCAUUGAAUGUUUUAUAAGAAUUUAAUUUUCUCCAAUUUUUAUGAAUAUAAUGUUAGGUCAAGAUGUAGUAAUAUAAAAGAAUGGAUGGGUUACAAUUUUUAUACAAAUGGAUUAGUAAUUGUAAUUUUACUAUAAAAUUGGAUUUAGGUGUAAUUUUUAAUAAAUAUUAAUUUUGAUUUUAGUUCUAAAUAAUGUACACAUCGCCCGUCGCUCUCAUUAUUAAGUUGGGAUAAGUCGUAACAAAGUAGUCCUACCGGAAGGUGGGUCUGGAUAUUUCAAGUUAAUUCAUUAAGUGAAGUUAUUAUUUACAUUAAUAAAUUUGUUGUGCAAUUCAAUAUAACUUGAAAUAAUUAUCUAAUUUUUAUUUUUUUUCUCAUUUUUUAAAAAAAUUAUUUUGUUUUUUAGUAUUUUUUGAAUUAAUAUAUUUUUAUUAUAGUUUAUUUUACUGUAAAGGAUUUAUUUAUAUUUUGUUUAAGUAUUUUUUGUUUAAUGUACCUUUUGCAUCAGGGUUUAUCAAAUUAAUAAAAUUAUUUUAUUUUCUCGAAAUUUUGGGAUUUAAACUUUAAUGAUUUUUAUUGUAACAAAAAUAUUUUUAAUUAUGGUUUAGAUGUUAUAUGCUUUUCAUCCAAAAUGAUAUCUAGUUUAUUGAUAAAUGAAUUUAAUUCAUUCUUAAAAAGCUUAUUUUACUUUAAUUAUUUUAUGUUUUUUAGGUUAAAUUCGAUAGGGAUAAGCUUAUCUUAUUUUUUAAAACUUUUUUUUAUUAAGAUUUCUAAUAGGAUUGAAAAUUUCUAUUUUUUAUUUUUUUAUAAUUAUAUUUCUUUUUUUAUUAUUUUUUAUCGUUUAAUUUUUUAUCAUUAUUUUUUAUUUUAAUUUAUUUUUUUUCUAAUAAUGAUAAAAUUAGUAAUUUUUAUAAUUUUAAAAUAGUAACUCGGCAAAAUUAAUUUUCACCUGUUUAACAAAAACAUGGUCUUUCGUUUUAUAUAUAAGAUCAGGCCUGCCCAUUGAUUUUUGAAAAUUAAAAGGCUGCGGUAUUUUAACUGUACUAAGGUAGCAUAAUCAUUUGUCUUUUAAUUGAAGGCUAGUAUGAAUGGUUUGAUGAAAAAUUAACUUUCUUUUUUAAAUUAUUACGAACUUAAUUUUUUAGUUAAAAAGCUAAAAUUUUUUUAUAGGACGAGAAGACCCUAUAGAAGUUUACUUUUUAUAGUAAAAUUGAAUUUUAGUUUAUAUAUUUUUUUUAUAAAUUAAAAGUUUUGUUGGGGUGAUAUUAAAAUUUAUUUAACUUUUAAUUAUUAUUUCAUUUAUUUAUGUUUUAUUGAUCCAUAUUAUUUUGAUUAAAAGAUUAACUUACCUUAGGGAUAACAGCGUAAUUUUUUUGGAGAGUUCAUAUCGAUAAAAAAGCUUGCGACCUCGAUGUUGAAUUAAGAUUAGAUUUGGGGGUAAAAUUUCAAUUUUCUUGGUCUGUUCGACCAUUAAAUUCUUACAUGAUUUGAGUUCAGACCGGCGUGAGCCAGGUCGGUUUCUAUCUUUAAAAUUUUUAUAUAAUUUAGUACGAGAGGACCAAUUAUAUUAAUAAUAUUAUUUAUAUUGUUUAAAAC